rnacentral:rRNA from 1 species
AUUGAACGCUGGCGGCAGGCUUAACACAUGCAAGUCGAGCGGAGAUGAGGUGCUUGCACCUUAUCUUAGCGGCGGACGGGUGAGUAAUGCUUAGGAAUCUGCCUAUUAGUGGGGGACAACAUUCCGAAAGGAAUGCUAAUACCGCAUACGUCCUACGGGAGAAAGCAGGGGAUCUUCGGACCUUGCGCUAAUAGAUGAGCCUAAGUCGGAUUAGCUAGUUGGUGGGGUAAAGGCCUACCAAGGCGACGAUCUGUAGCGGGUCUGAGAGGAUGAACCGCCGCACUGGGACUGAGACACGGCCCAGACUCCUACGGGAGGCAGCAGUGGGGAAUAUUGGACAAUGGGGGGAACCCUGAUCCAGCCAUGCCGCGUGUGUGAAGAAGGCCUUAUGGUUGUAAAGCACUUUAAGCGAGGAGGAGGCUACUGAGACUAAUACUCUUGGAUAGUGGACGUUACUCGCAGAAUAAGCACCGGCUAACUCUGUGCCAGCCGCCGCGGUAACAC